rnacentral:rRNA from 1 species
AAAGGGCUCGCAGGCGGUUUCUUAAGUCUGAUGUGAAAGCCCCCGGCUCAACCGGGGAGGGUCAUUGGAAACUGGGGAACUUGAGUGCAGAAGAGGAGAGUGGAAUUCCACGUGUAGCGGUGAAAUGCGUAGAGAUGUGGAGGAACACCAGUGGCGAAGGCGACUCUCUGGUCUGUAACUGACGCUGAGGAGCGAAAGCGUGGGGAGCGAACAGGAUUAGAUACCCUGGUAGUCCACGCCGUAAACGAUGAGUGCUAAGUGUUAGGGGGUUUCCGCCCCUUAGUGCUGCAGCUAACGCAUUAAGCACUCCGCCUGGGGAGUACGGUCGCAAGACUGAAACUCAAAGGAAUUGACGGGGGCCCGCACAAGCGGUGGAGCAUGUGGUUUAAUUCGAAGCAACGCGAAGAACCUUACCAGGUCUUGACAUCCUCUGACAAUCCUAGAGAUAGGACGUCCCUUACGGGGGCAGAGUGACAGGUGGUGCAUGGUUGUCGUCAGCUCGUGUCGUGAGAUGUUGGGUUAAGUCCCGCAACGAGCGCAACCCUUGAUCUUAGUUGCCAGCAUU